rnacentral:rRNA from 1 species
GUGGGGAAUCUUGCGCAAUGGGCGAAAGCCUGACGCAGCCAUGCCGCGUGAAUGAUGAAGGUCUUAGGAUUGUAAAAUUCUUUCACCGGGGACGAUAAUGACGGUACCCGGAGAAGAAGCUCCGGCUAACUUCGUGCCAGCAGCCGCGGUAAUACGAAGGGGGCUAGCGUUGCUCGGAAUUACUGGGCGUAAAGGGCGCGUAGGCGGACAGCUUAGUCAGAGGUGAAAGCCCAGGGCUCAACCUUGGAAUUGCCUUUGAUACUGGGUGUCUUGAGUUUGGGAGAGGUGAGUGGAACUCCGAGUGUAGAGGUGAAAUUCGUAGAUAUUCGGAAGAACACCAGUGGCGAAGGCGACUCACUGGCCCAAUACUGACGCUGAGGCGCGAAAGCGUGGGGAGCAAACAGGAUUAGAAACCCCAGUAGUCC